UGGGGAAUAUUGGACAAUGGGCGCAAGCCUGAUCCAGCCAUGCCGCGUGAGUGAUGAAGGCCCUAGGGUUGUAAAGCUCUUUCACCGGUGAAGAUAAUGACGGUAACCGGAGAAGAAGCCCCGGCUAACUUCGUGCCAGCAGCCGCGGUAAUACGAAGGGGGCUAGCGUUGUUCGGAUUUACUGGGCGUAAAGCGCACGUAGGCGGACUAUUAAGUCAGGGGUGAAAUCCCGGGGCUCAACCCCGGAACUGCCUUUGAUACUGGUAGUCUUGAGUUGGAGAGAGGUGAGUGGAAUUCCGAGUGUAGAGGUGAAAUUCGUAGAUAUACGGAGGAACACCAGUGGCGAAGGCGGCUCACUGGCUCGAUACUGACGCUGAGGUGCGAAAGCGUGGGGAGCAAACAGG
rnacentral:rRNA from 1 species